rnacentral:rRNA from 1 species
AUACGGAGGGUGCAAGCGUUACUCGGAAUCACUGGGCGUAAAGCGCGCGCAGGCGGCUUGAUAAGUUGGAUGUGAAAGCCUACGGCUCAACCGUAGAACUGCAUCCAAAACUGUCAAGCUAGAGUCUGGGAGGGGAAGAUGGAAUUAGUUGUGUAGGGGUAAAAUCCGUAGAGAUAACUAGGAAUACCAAAAGCGAAGGCGAUCUUCUGGAACAGUACUGACGCUGAGGCGCGAAAGCGUGGGGAGCAAACAGGAUUAGAAACCCCUGUAGUCC